AUGAUUUAUCGCAUACAACGAUCUGUUUUUUGAAAGUACCGGUUAGCCUAGUCCAGUGGUUCCCAACCGGUGGAAAAUUUCCCACUAGUGGGAAAUUUGGAGGUUGCAGGUGGGAAAUUGAAUGCUCCUCUAAAAAUGUACGCACAACAACACAAUUAUUAAAUAUUACACAAUGAAAAUCACGAUAUAUGCCAUGAAGCGGAAAAAGAUUCCCCAUUCAAUUAAUCAAACUUAUAGUAAAAUAUCACGUUGUUGGGCAUGAUAUUCUGAUCGUGCCACGCAAUUCAUUUUGAUCCUUAGUCGGCCGAUAACAACCUCACAGGCAUGUCUCGAGCGAGCACCAAUGCUUUAAAAAUUAAACGUUACGCGAGAAGAUUUACGUUGCAGAGCCGCAAAAGAGAACAGUUUUUAUUCAAAUGUAUCGGAGAUAUUGGGUAAGCACGCGCUCUGAUGAACAAAUAUUUGACCCGUCCCUCCAUUCUGCUAAAUUCUUAAUAAAAGGUAAUAACUUAUGUAAAAAUAAAGUACGAUCAUAGUCAUCUCGGCUACGUUUCACGUUUUUAACGAAAAUUUUUGAGCAACUGCCGCAAUGCGUUUUUUGCACUAAGGCCAUUUCCAAUGGGUCUAUGUAGCCCCAUGCAAUGAGGCAACAUAUUCGACAACAUGGGCAAUUUCAAAUGAGUUCAAAGGUGAUAUUUGUUAGCGAAAAUCAUAACGUGUUCCUAAUUUGAUGACGUUUUACGUUGUUACGCAGACGUUGCAAACGUAUCGACGCAGCAUUAGUGCGACAUAGUCCUGUUUGGGAAGUUCCUCGAUUAAUCCCGGGAAUUCUAAAUUAUCGCCACGCUGCUUCGAUGAGUUGGCACCUUCUGUCUUGUAUCCAGUGUAAUCUAUAUCGCGCUAGGAGUUGUUUAUCGUGUUUAAUAUUGGGUUUACUCUCUGCGGUUAGGAUAAACGAUUCGGAUUAAAGUUAUUAAUUGGGUUUAAAAUUAAGAGGUUUAUACUAGGACUGAAAUAUAAUGCAGGGAUACAGGUUAGGGUUGUAUUAUAUUCCAAAUAAAAUGAUAACUGCUGUUCUUUGUAUUUAGUCACAUGAGUUAAGUUGUAUUUACUUUGGAUUAUAAUUUGUUGAAUAGAGUUGCCUGGAGAUCCUAAACAUUCGAAAACCGUUCCUUUACGUUCCUUAUACCCGGUAUCAAGAUUUACGUUACGUUCCAUUAACAACGUUCCGUUUCUCGUACACGGCAAGUUCUAUUUUCCUGAUUCAUGUUCGAGAUUUGAUUUGAAGUGUCUGUUGAUUGUUAUUAAAGAUAUUCACCGAAUUCAAGUUGAAUUAUAUUGGGGCAGCACUUGGAAGGCACAGAAGAAUCUGGGGGCACUUUAACCGCUGUUUACAGACUUUAAUUGCUUGAAAGCAUGGACUAGUUAUAACAAUUAACCGAUAUAAGUUUGGGGUCAGGACUGGGUUAUUGGGACGCGUUUUUGAAGUCUCCAAUCUCUUAAUGUGCGUGAGAAGUAAUCAGGCUACAUAGAAUCGAGCGCAACAAUAUUAAUUGCGUCAUUUGUAGAUGUCCUGCGAAUAGCAAAAACCAAAAGUUCCAUAACAUCGGUGGGACAUAAACUUUGUCCCGUGAAGUGUGAUGAUAUUCUGCCGAGUAAGUCUGCUCCGUCAAAGAUGAACAGAUCUCCUUGUCCAAUAGCAAUGCGCAUUUUCAAAAAUAGAUUCAGACUUCCGGUCUAUCAUACUAAAAAAAACAGCAGAAUUGAUGUGGACGGUGUAAUGUUAUGUAAACUCUGAUGCGUUUUUUGUAAUUUUGAGCGUUGAAUUGUUCUGUUCGAUGGAUAACACUGAUUUUCGUUACACG